UAACCUGAAGGGUGUGGAGAUGCUCAGAC
rnacentral:piRNA from 1 species